GACGAACGCUGGCGGCGUGCUUAACACAUGCAAGUCGAGCGGGAAGCUUCGGCUUUCAGCGGCGAACGGGUGAGUAACACGUGGGCAACCUGCCCCGAGCUCUGGAAUAACUUCGGGAAACCGGGGCUAAUACCGGAUAUGACACUACCGGACAUCUGGUGGUGUGGAAAGAUUUAUCGGCUCGGGAUGGGCCCGCGGCCUAUCAGCUUGUUGGUGGGGUAACGGCCUACCAAGGCGACGACGGGUAGCCGGCCUGAGAGGGCGAUCGGCCACACUGGGACUGAGACACGGCCCAGACUCCUACGGGAGGCAGCAGUGGGGAAUAUUGCGCAAUGGGCGAAAGCCUGACGCAGCGACGCCGCGUGAGGGACGAAGGCC
rnacentral:rRNA from 1 species